UUCCCCACCUUUCAAUUCAGAGCGACCUGCAGUCGGGAGUUUUGGACAAACACGGCAGGACCCUGGAGAGAUUUAGAAGAAGAAUUGAGAGACUCAAACUUCACCAUAGCAGAUGCGAAAGGAGGCUUUUCCAGACAGCUUCAGUGCAGGUCCAGAAGGCGAUGGCUGUGAUGCCAACACAGUUGGACUAUAUCCAUGAGGAGCCAGAGUGGGAUUCCUUUGGAU